rnacentral:tRNA from 3 species
GCCGGAGUGGCGGAAUGGUAGACGCGACGGACUCAAAAUCCGUUGAGGGCAACCUCGUGUGGGUUCGAGUCCCACCUCCGGUACCA